AUUGUGAGUGAGUCGUGUGUCUUUGGUGAUCCAGCUUGCAGAGGUAGCAGCCAAAGCCUGCUGCAGGGGAAAAAAAAAAUAACAGGAGGCGAGAGGGACCCAGCUCUUGCUGGGUGUGCGGCUGACGGCAACACAGAAAGGAAGAGAAAAAGAGGAAGGCGCUCGAAGGCGAAGGAAGGGACCCGGGGUGGAAGAGCAAGAGGGAGCAAUAGCAAGAAACACCAAGUGGCGAUGGGCGUCUGGGUCCCGGGAUCUCGGUGGCUUGGAGGAGAGCCCCAUCCUGGUGUGCUGCUCUGUGCCUCACGCAGCGGACUCCCUCUGCUCGGGGACUGAGACGUGACUCACGGUUUUGGUAUCUCCUACGUAAGAGCUUUGGGGGGAUUCCUUGGCUUGCUGACAACGGAAGGAAGAAAGCAGCACCAGGGAGGUAAAACACGAUUGCUUCCAACUGCCUUGCGGAGGAUACGCAGUCGCUUGGUUUGGCUGGAACAGCUUGCUGCUCUCUGAUGGCACGCGGAGGGAGAAUAAUUAAAAAAGCCAGCAUCACUUACUAAAACUCUACAUCUCAAGUGGGUAGGAAAAAAAGAUAGAAAUCCCCAGAAGAGAGAUCCUGCAUAUAGUUUGGAAGUUUUCCCAUGGCACCUGAAAUAACCUCAGCAGGAAGAGACACCUCAGCAAAUGGUCACGGAAUACCCAUGACUAUUUUAUGCCUCGAGGGUUUCAUACAACGUUCCCACCUCUUGGAUGUUCACCUCUACUUCUGUCAUUUGGUCAACUCUUUCACCGUCAAGAUUCUGUUCCAGCAAGAAGCAUUACCCUCUGCCCCAAACCGCCACAAUAGGUUAUGUGCUGUCACAAACCCCCUACCCCGGCCUCCUGUCUCACAGCAUUUUUUCCACUGGCACAAUAAUCAGGUUCUUCUCUUUGGACUAUGAGACCCUGGAAGGUA